UACGAAGGACCCGAGCGUUAUCCGGAUUUAUUGGGUUUAAAGGGUGCGUAGGCGGAUUAUUAAGUCAGUGGUGAAAGCCUACAGCUUAACUGUAGAAUUGCCAUUGAUACUGAUGAUCUUGAGUAUGAUUGAAGUGGGCGGAAUGUGUCAUGUAGCGGUGAAAUGCUUAGAUAUGCCACAGAACACCGAUUGCCAAGGCAGCUCACUAAGUCAUAACUGACGCUGAUGCGCGAAAGCGUGGGGAGCAAACAGG
rnacentral:rRNA from 1 species